rnacentral:piRNA from 1 species
UAGAAAGGUUUGGAAGUGUCUCAGC